rnacentral:lncRNA from 13 species
AACAUGUUAUCUUUGAUUUUGAUAUUUUGAUUUUUUUCUGAUAUUUUCUGAUUUUUAUUUGCAUUCAUUACUUUAAAAUUGUCAAUGAAGUCACGCGAUUUUAGCCAACAAAUCGCAGCAAAGAGCUUCUGCGCAUGCAUUUCGAUGGUACAUGGUUCUCCAUGCCGUAACGAUCAUCAUGACUCGUCAUUGUAACAGUCCAGUGUAGUUGAGCCAGUUGAGUGUAGUGGUCAUGGUCAGUGGUAGUGGUGUAAUACUUUGCAAGUGCCGUGUUCUUAUAUGUAAUAUUUUUACAUUGAAUUGGAGUAUUUUGCAUAAUAUCAUAUCUCCGUGGAUAAAAAAACCUCAGGAAAUUGUGGAAUAAUAUUGCUAAACAUUGGAAACAAUACGAGAGCAAGCAUUUCAUAUUUUAUUGUUGACAGACCUCGCAUAUUUUAUUUUAUAAGUUCUCUCGAAGAGGUGUAUGGACGGUUCGUUUUAUGAACAUAUAUAAAAUAUGUUAGAUAUUUGCAGAUAUUGCUAAUUGAAAAAA